rnacentral:pre_miRNA from 1 species
UAUACAGAUUAUUAUAUUCGCCUGUAUUUGACUGUAUUCAUGGCAUAAAACAGGGGAUUACACUGUUUUUAAACGGAAAGUGAAUCAAUUAACAUAAUAGACUCCU